ACAAUCUGUGAGCCAACCAGGGCCAGGGAAUCACUGCUUGGGAUCUUAGCCUGGAACCUUCUGCUGCACCCAGAGAGUUAUGCAGGAGCAGGGAACCUACCUAGAGGACAAAAUCUGCCAAGAGGACAAAAUCUGCCAAGAGGACAAAAUCUGCCAAGACAGCCACUUCCUCUUCUCCUUGACAGGAAACUUCAGCUCAAGUUUUAUUUUACAACUUUUUACUGGUUGUAAGGCAACUCAGACAUCAGCAGGUCCCAGGCUCUGCCCUUAAGGAUCUCGGCUAAGGAGGCUACAGAAACAAGUCCCAUACCGUUCAAAAACCACAUGCGAAGAGGAGAGGUCCAGCCCUGUCCCCCACAUUUACUAACUGCAAAAUGGCUGGAACACACACUCCUCGCCCAAGGCGUCCCUGCCUCUUUCCCCAGCUUUUCAAUCUGAAUUAAGGAUUCUUCAAUAAGAUGGUCAAAGGUCAAGCUGUUCUCCUUUAACGUGAUGUCACUGGCUGGAUGUCCUUACAUGUGUAUGUGUACCUGGAGUUAAAACCCACAAUAAAUUCCAAUAAUGAAAGGAA